rnacentral:rRNA from 1 species
UGGGGAAUAUUGCACAAUGGGGGAAUCCCUGAUGCAGCGACGCCGCGUGAGCGAAGAAGGUUUUCGAAUCGUAAAGCUCUGUCCUAUGAGAAGAUAAUGACGGUAUCAUAGGAGGAAGCCCCGGCUAAAUACGUGCCAGCAGCCGCGGUAAUACGUAUGGGGCGAGCGUUGUCCGGAAUUAUUGGGCGUAAAGGGUACGUAGGCGGUCUAUUAAGUCAGGUGUGAAAGCGUGAGGCUUAACCUCAUUAAGCACUUGAAACUGAUAGACUUGAGUGAAGGAGAGGAAAGUGGAAUUCCUAGUGUAGCGGUGAAAUGCGUAGAUAUUAGGAGGAAUACCGGUGGCGAAGGCGACUUUCUGGACUUUUACUGACGCUCAGGUACGAAAGCGUGGGGAGCAAACAGG